ACUUCUGGAAUCCAAGCGAUGCACCAACUCUCUCACACAGCACCACAGUAAGAUAUAACGAGUAGGAAUUAUCAAGUGUUCACUGCCACUCCACAAUAAAAAUCUUUGAUGAGUUGCAUAUACUGUUGUAUUCAGGAGAAGCUGGAGUGCUACCAGACCUCUGAGGAAAGUCUCGAAGUUGAGCAUCGCCGUAUGAAGGAGACCUGUGAGGCCACGGAAGCUCGAGCUGCCAGACUGGAACUCACACGCUGGGGGUUGGGGGGAGAGCUGCAGCAUGCCCAGCUCUGAGCCACAGAGAUGGAGUCAGAGGUCAGCUCACUGCAGGAACGCCUUAACAAACUCCGCAGAGAACUGAGAGACAGUGAAGAGCGUGCUUCCCUCCUGAAGGUUGAGGGUGAGAGGUUGGCAACUGCCUUGGCACACACAGAACUGCAGGAGAGCCAGUUGAGGGAGCAACUGCAGGCCAUGGCUGCAUCCCUGACUGAAAGCAAUGCUGCUGCAGGAACAGCACAGGAUCAGGCUGCCCAGCUGCAGCAAGUUCUCACAGCCAGCGAACAUGACUGGAAGAUGCUGCAGGAAAGGUUGGAUAAGACAUGGGAGGCUCUGACUUAAACAGUAGGAAGCAAAAUCAUGGGUUGAGUGAGAGACUACAGAUCCUGCAGAGAAGCCAGGAAGAGUCUGAACUCAGGGUCUCUGAACUGGAUAAACAGAAACGAGGCCUUCAGGAGGUUAUGCACACACACAUACUCUUAAAAUUUACACAAUGUUUUGAAGGGUUAGUUUGCCUAAAAUAAAAAUUCUGUUAUCAUUUACUCACCCUCAUUUUGUUCCAAACCCAUAAGACCAGCAUUUGUUCAUCUUAACUUGAAUAUCUGUGUGGGUGUGUAUAUGGUUUUGUGUGUACAGUUUAUUUAUAUAUAAAACUUGUUAAUAUAAUUUGGUCUGUGGAGGCAAAAGCAAUAAACAUAUACAUUCUUAAUUUCAAGCAAACUUUUUUUUGCAUUUUGUCACCAUUGUGCGCCCCUUUUCCUCUGUCUCUCAGUAGAACCAUUUCUGUGCCUGAAAAAAAACACAAAAUUAAAAAUAACAUACAACCAAAUGUGUCAGUUGAACGAAAUUCAAUUCAAUUCUCACACAGCAUCGUACCUUAACCAAAUACAAACACACUUAGUGUUAUCUCUUCCUUGUUAAGCUGAGGAAACCAUGGUGAUCUACACCAGUUGUGGUCUGGACAGUCAUGUAGACGGUGUCUAUUCUACAUUUCCUUUAAUUCAUUAGGCUGUGAGACAAAGGCUACAAGCUGACCAGGAGGUUCAGCUAUGCACUCUUGCAGGAAGAAAAGGAUCAGCUUCAGGAGCAGGUGGCUACCCUGCAGACCACUGCACUUCAGCUGCAGGGAGCGAAAGCUGAGCUGGAGAGGACACUGCUCCAUCCGGAAAUUGAUCAUUCAUCCAGGGUGCUUCUCUGCCUGCUGCCUAAGAUCGCUGGGAUAGAAUCUCUGAGGCUGUACAGACAAGCAGUUUUAAAAAAGGAUAGAUGGAUUACAGAAAAAAAAUAUUGUAUUACAUUAAUAAUAAUGUAUUAAUGCUAAUUAAUGUAUUAAUGCUAGAUUAAGCUUUGUGUUAAUGUCAUUUUCUGAAUAAAAUGUAAUUGGUUAUUGGUCCCAAGUAAACAAACAAGUCAAGUCAAUUUUCCAGUUCUUUUUGUAUUUGUAUUGGAUUCGCCUGUGACAGGAUGUUGUUAUGUGUUGUCUCUGCAGUCACAGAUCUCUAUCUUGGAGCAGACUCACACCCAGAGGCUCCUGGAAGUGAUGGCUCGCCACAGACAAGAGCUGGACCUGGAGACAGAGUGGAUGAAGGACUCCCAGCAACAGGCUGAGAGAGCACUGGAGGCCCAAGAGAAAGCUCACUGCGAGAGGGUCCACUGCUUGGAGGAACAGGUUUGAGAAAGCUAUAAAAAAUGUGAUGUAUUGUAAUAGUGACAUCUACAUCACAUUCAACAGCUAGAAGCCUUUAAUAAAUACUUGACUGCUUUGCAAUAACUGCUGUGUGUUUCUCAGGUUUGCACACUGAAAAAACAGUUGGAGCAGGAGAUGAAGAGGAGGCAAGCAUAUAUGAAGCAGAUGUUAAGAUUGGGGCUCUAAAAACCGAAAUGACUUGGGAAUUCAGCCAACGGUGACCAACUGACAGCUUUUUGUUCCCAAACAUGUUUGUAGUCUCUCAAAGGCUUAUAACCAAUGAAACAGGGCCUGUGCUAACAUGAAUGGACUUAUGCAUACUGAGAAGGUAACACACAUAUACUUCACACACACACUUUAGAUUUAAAAACAUACAAAAUCACUGAUCUCAGGGAGAACUGUUGGACUGCAUUUGCACAAAUACUUUAAGUAAUCCUGAUCCAUGCCAUAAGAACCCAGUAACAACAAACAAAGAGAUUACUGUUUCACCAAAUGCUUCUCAAUUGCCAAAUUGUUUUAAGGAUUUGUGCAGCAAACUGUUGAAACAGACCAUAAAUCUACCUAAAGCUUAUCCUUGUUCAUCUUAGAGCAUUAAGCACAAUCUCAAUUCUGCAUCACACACACUUUUAAACAUCUGUACCUACCUUAAAUAUUUCACCCUAGGUCCCCUAAACUGUUUAGCAAACCACAUAAUUAUUCUCUAUUUCUUUUUUAUAACAUGUUACUCUGUAGCUGACAUGAUUGAUGACAUGACUGAAAUGAUGAUCAUUAUUUAAUCACACAACCAUUAAGAGAAUAAGAUCAUCUUGUUUCAGUUAGUACCAAUAAGCUAAAUUACCGCUAGAGUGAAUCAGGACAGAAAAUGAGUCAUAUGUCUUAUCUACAAAUGUUGUUUCAUAUUAAUGCUUCUAUAUGGUGUUUCUCUUAUUAUGGGUGUUAAAACAAUUUCUAAUUCAUAAUCACUACUGUGUUACAGGUUAUUCCAUGUAAUAACUAUUAGAAAACUAGUAUUUUUUAUGAGUCAAUAAAACCAUACAAACAAGAAAAAUAACAAUGAGAUUGAUUUUUGUGGUCUAAAGAAUUGCUGUCAGCUGGCUUUGGUGUAUUUUGGAUAAUUGCUGUAGUUUAUGAUGAUGUGUGCAAAUAAGCUAUAACUGCCUAUAAAAGAAUCUUCUGUGAUGUUCUCCUUCCAAGAUUUGAUUCCCGCCACUAAUGACCCCCUGGUUAAAAAGAAUCUCAUUUUAUUUUAAAAAAAGUUGUUUCAGGCAAAUUUCAAUUAUUUGAAAUCUUGCCUUGUAUGAUUAAUUUAGGGGGAAAUUGGUUUUCAGAGAGUAAGAAAUCUUUCAGUAAAUCUCUAGUCAUAACCAAAGGGCUUUUGUAUAUUUUCCUCCUUUUGAACAGACAUCUUGUGUACAAUAUACAAAGAAUGCACUAUGUAUGCAUCAUAAGACAUCCCAACUCUUACACUGCCAUGUGGUAGUGUGUACCACACUGAGACAUGUUCCUAUGGGGAAGGGUAUUUCUCAGCAAAAGUUGAGAGCAGAGGAGAGUGCCCUGUCAGAGUCUCUUUAAAGCAGCCCUUUGAUUACCAUAGCUCCACCCAGUGCUUAUCCAGUUACUGGUCUCUUCUCAGCUAUUGGAAGAGAGUUCCUAAUCAUGCAAGGUAGUGAAUCCCUGGGGUGGGGGGGGGUGGGGCUGGGUCUGAAAGAACUCCUUUGGCAGGCAGAAUAGAGGUUUUAUUGAGGAUAUUUCUAAACUAACCAUCAGGGACCAAGUCACUGGAUUGUAAAAAAAAAAUCACUCUGCUCCCUCUCCUUUCUCUCUCUCACCCUGUUCAUUUCAGUGAGCGGCACAGAGCACAGCAGCUCUUGAGCACCCAGCAGCACACAGAAUGCAAGGAAUCUACCCCCUUGUUAUAGACCAACAGCCCAAGUACCAGGGCUGAGAAAAGAUCUGAGAAGGGAAGGGUGGAAUUAGAAACCAAAAAAGGAAACUUUACAGAAACAAGGAGAAGAAAGACAAGGAGGAUCAUUAGUUGAGCAUUUGGCACUGGGGUUUAAAGUUGUCUCUGAGUGUCCUGGAUCUUAGUCCUCUCCUCUCC
rnacentral:lncRNA from 12 species